CUUUUGGAGCAUCAAUCAUGUCUAUAUCUUCCUCUUUUGUUCAAGGUGUGGACCUUCUACAAGCGCAUCGAUCAUUUCAGCAUCUGUUACCAUGUUGACACUAUGGGGCUCCGUUUUUCUUAGAGAGUUAAGGUAGCAUUCCAUAGACCCAAUUUGGUCGCCUUUCACAGUUGCAAUCCCAUACGCAGUUGGAAAUGUAAUACAUAGGUAGUGUACCGAGCUAACCAUCCAUAACUCUUCAAGCAGAUCUUCCUAGGACACCAUGGUAAGUUGAUCUAUUAGCCACAACUAGUAAUUCCAUAAAGUUGCGUACUACUUGGAGAGGUGACCCCAUCUUUAUCGCGAAGGUGAUCUUCCUCCUUGUGAUGAUGCUAUCUCUUAGAAACCCAUCUAGUAGGAAAGUCAUGAGAGUCAGUUCAUGAUCUACCAACAUUUUAUCGAACACAGAUCUAAGCAUUAUAUUGAUCGAACUCCCAUGGUCAACCAACAAGCGCUUUAACCAUUGUGAGCUAUAAUUACCCUUACUACUGAGGCAUCACAAUGAGGAUAAUGCAUACCUACGCAUCUUCCUAUGUAAAGGUAAUAAGUAGCAUAUUAUCGAGCCCUUGAGGGUGGUCGUAGAUGAAGUAAAUAUCCCUGGGGAUCAUUGGCCUUUCAUGCAUCAUUCAUCUAGGUGUUUCAAUCUCGUCUCAAACAUGUGAAGCCCCAAUGAUCGUAUCUAUCUCCCAAAUAGUUGUAUUGUCCAUAGCGGAAGACUCUCUGCUUUGUCUUUAUCCACCUCUAGGCCUCUCUCUAUCAUCCCCUUUUUAGAAGGGAACGAUCUUUUGGAGGUCUCAUGGUGUCCUCCUACCUAAGCUGUUGUUUCCUCAAGUGGCUGAACCCCUCUCUCUUCACAUUCUCAUUUAUUUUCAUCAUGUUAUAAUGACAAUUUCUCUAGCUUUCUAAAGUACAAGAAAUUUAUAAACUAGUUGAUGAAAAAUGUGGUACUACAACAACAAUCCACUUUCUUUGAGUGCUAAUAUACUUUUCAAGAAUUAAAUGUUCAUUUUGUUGUUCAAAUCAAUGUAAAACAAGAAAUUCGAGCUUAUGUUUUGAUUUAAUUUCAAAUUUAUCCAUAAGUGCAAUCAAGAAUGAAUUUUUGCUCAAUUUUUU
rnacentral:lncRNA from 1 species